rnacentral:tRNA from 1 species
GCCACAGUCGUCUAACGGAAGGACGCAACAUAUAGGAUGGGUUGAAAUCCCGGUUCGAAUCCGGGCGGUGGCG